rnacentral:rRNA from 1 species
UUACGGGAGGCAGCAGUAAGGAAUAUUGCGCAAUGGACGAAAGUCUGACGCAGCGACGCCGCGUGGAGGAUGAAGGUCUUCGGAUUGUAAACCCCUUUCGGGAGGGUAGAUGGAACGAGCAAUCGUUCGGACGGUACCUCCAGAAGCAGCCACGGCCAACUUCGUGCCAGCAGCCGCGGUAAUACGAAGGUGGCAAGCGUUGUUCGGAUUCACUGGGCGUACAGGGUGUGUAGGCGGUUUGGUAAGCCUUCUGUUAAAGCUUCGGGCCCAACCCGGAAAGCGCAGAGGGUACUGCCAGGCUAGAGGGCGGGAGAGGAGCGCGGAAUUCCGCGUGUAGCGGUGAAAUGCGUAGAGAUCGGGAGGAAGGCCGGUGGCGAAGGCGGCGCUCUGGAACGUACCUGACGCUGAGACACGAAAGCGUGGGGAGCAAACAGGAUUAGAUACCCUGGUAGUCU